rnacentral:lncRNA from 1 species
AGAACAACCAGACCCUUUGCCUGAGAAAGAGAUUCACGGAACGACAAAAGUUAUCCGUUCUCUUCAAAUCUUUAUAUAUCAAUUUACUGGUCUUAUUAGUAAAGGUGACACAACCCCUCUCUUGGAUCAGAAUACCACGUUUCAUUUUGAAAUAAAAUUAUGUCUUCACAUUGCUGAUGAGUAGCCUGUCCAAAAUCAUAUAGCAGAUGAAUGUGCGCGGGAAGCAAGAAAGCUAUGCUAAAAAGGGUCAAUGAAAGAAACAUUGGAACUACUAUAUCUACUACUCUGCAUAUAUAUAGUUUCAUAAUCAAUUAUUGGUAAUGGUAAGGAAGAUUCAGAAAAGCUGUCGCAAUUGUAGACACUAAUAUUUGUUUUAAUUAAUUUGUCAACUCUUCUCUAUUGCCCUUUUCCAAAGUUAGCUGUUAUCUGGUGACACAAAAAUUGUUUAGAUUAUUUUUAUUGAUUCAGUCUGUUGAAGACUGAGCAAUACUUUGCUGGAUUAAAGACUUUUAGCUGUCCAUUGUGUACAUAUUACGAUGAAGUUUUCGUGUAGGGGACUGGUCUUUGAAGGAAUUUCCUAAUACCACAAUAUUUCUAAUCAACUGGAGUAGACAUUAAGAAGCUUCACAGAAAUUUCCUAUUACUUCUAUAGUUCUAUUAAUAUUCAAUGAAAAUGUACCACAUAUAAUUUGACUAGAUCCAACAAUAAUAAUUUAUUUAACUGGAGUAAACCGAAUGCUCAUAGAAGCUUUUUGUUUCUUCUUUCCUGUAUAUAACUUUGUCCAAAAUAUCAUCAAUUGAUCUCAUCCAUACAGUCUAUUUUUCUUUUCAG